CUUUUCCCUAAUGUUCUGUUCUUGUUUGUUCCCUAGGGGAAUGGCAGAGGAAGGAGAGACAGAGACAGAGAAGUGGAAGAGAGAAAAAUAAGGAUAUGGAGAAUUUGGAAGGAUCGUGCAUUACAAAAAUGUUUUUAACGCUUUUGAAAUAGCUUUAUUUUUAGUACAAUAAUUCUGGCUACAAAAAUAUGUUGGUAGUUAUGUAGGCAAUAAUUGUAUUAGCUUAAUAUAGCUGUCAUAGUUUGUGCCA